rnacentral:rRNA from 1 species
ACGUAGGGGGCGAGCGUUGUCCGGAAUUACUGGGCGUAAAGGGUGCGUAGGCGGCCUUUUAAGUUGGAUGUGAAAUACCCGGGCUUAACUUGGGGGGUGCAUCUAAUACUGGAGGGCUAGAGUGCAUGAGAGGAAAGCGGAAUUCCUAGUGUAGCGGUGAAAUGCGUAGAUAUUAGGAGGAACACCAGUGGCGAAGGCGGCUUCCUGGAAUAUUACUGACGCUGAUGCGCGAAAGCGUGUGUAGCAAACAG